rnacentral:tRNA from 1 species
AAUAAAGUGCCUGAAAAAGGAUUACUAUGAUAUAGUAAAACAUGCAAUUUAAAGCCUUUAUUA